GCGGCCGUGGCGAAAUUGGUAGACGCAAGGGACUUAAAAUCCCUCGGUAGAAAUACCGUGUCGGUUCGAUUCCGACCGGCCGCACCA
rnacentral:tRNA from 1 species